ensembl:lncRNA
GUUUGUGUCAGCUGUCUUGUCUGUGUCCCCUGCCAGCUCCGUGUUCCUUGCUGUCAGGCCAGCAGGAGAAGCUGAAAUGUCCUUGGUUCCAGGGCACAGCUGAGGUGGAAGCUUUCUGGUAAUAUGAAGAAUGCAGUACUUUUUCAGGAGUACUGACCAACUGUGUCUGAAACUGCAGAUGGAAUCAUGGCUGAUGUCAAUAAUUCCUGUACUGCUGCUUUGAGUACCUCUAUGUUGCUUGUGAAAAUGACAGCUGUUGAACAUUUUUAUGAGAGACACAUUGCACUUAUCAGGAUCUGAAGGCUCUCUGUGUAUAUCUGAUGACUAAGGGAAAUAAACUGCUAGAAAAUCACAGAGGAUCUCAUGGUGUCAUAACAAAUGCAAUAACAAGUCAGUCUUUGUACCUGAAUUUUCAGAGAUAUUCUGGAUAUUUAUCACACACUACUAGAUGAACUACGUAAUCCCUG